AAUAGAGAGAUAUUCACUCCAUUUGUGUGUCACUUUCAAAUAAGAAAGGCUACCAGGUAACAUAACACUGCUUAUCAUAGAGUCUUACAGGCCAUAGUUGGCAAAUAUAGUUCAAACCAUGGUGUCACAUCAGAGUUUUUGUGGUUUAUAUUUUGAUUUUGUCCUGUGAAUUGCCCUGAGACCUCCAGGUAUAGGGCAGUAUAUAAAUUCAUUAAAAAAAUAAAUCAUAGGUGCCAACUCCUAGGGGCCGAGGCCCAUUCGGCUCCCCCAAUAAAAUAUUUGAGGGGACUGGGACCCCCUAAGUCAGUCAUAGGCAAACUCGGUCCUCCAGAUGUUUUGGGACUACAACUCCCAUCAUCCCUGACCACUGGUCCUGUUAGCUAGGGAUGAUGGGAGUUGUAGUCCCAAAACAUCUGGAGGACCGAGUUUGCCUUUGCCUGCCCUAAGUUGAUGGGCAUUACCAUUCAAAUAGUGUGUAUAUACCAUGUCAUGUGAUGAAUUAUGAAGGGUGGAGCUUACCUAUCCUUCCCAAUAUUUUAUUCCAGUUUACACCCCUGGAGAUUAUAGUUUACUGGGAUAAAAUAGAUUUUUUAAGGGAGACCACCAUUGUAUGAAUGUAGCCCUUCUUCACAAUAUCCAUUAAAACAAGAAAAUAGGCUACAUUCACACACACACACACACACACACACACACACAUAUCUCAUUUCCAAAUUGAAGAACAUGAUCUUACCACUGCUUUUCUCUUUGUUGUUUUUCAGCAACCCCCAAAUAGUUAUCCAUGUCACUGGUAUGUGCAACUGUAAAUGAUAGCUGAGGGGGUUCCAGUCGGCUGUCUUAACGUGAGACGUUGAACAAUCAAAGGAAUUGUCAGUAAUCUCAAGGAGGAACUUGCUGCAUCUCUCCUAAAGGGGCUUCUGCUGAGGGAGGGCAGCUCUGUGCUGCUUGGAAAGACUGCCUGUUGCAGGGCACUCAGUAGUCUAAUGCCUUGGGGUUUACUUGCAGUUUGCUUCUGCUAACCUUUCUGAAAUCAAAUUGGUUGUGAGGAAAAUUGAUCAACACAUGGCCCAGCCAAUCAGUGCUGUGCCUCCCUGCUCUGAGCAAGUGGGGCUGGUUGCUCUAGGGCUGACACAAGGUCCAAACAAUCAGUGUUAUGAACAUCUAGAUUCAUCUCAAACAGGAAAAUGCAUGUUUUCCCUGCCUCCCAUCCUAAAGAAAAGGUUAUAUGUAUGUCCUCAGGUCAUCAGGUGGUUGUCCUUCUCUGUCCUGUGAACUGGGUUCCUUUAACUGGAGAUGGACCACAGAAAAAGUCUUGCUCUCCUUCUGAUAUGCUUCUUCCAGUACCUGGCCAGAUGCUUGAUGAUCCUCCAACCUAGUUUUAAUGCCUACUAAGGUGGGGUUCAACACAACCUGGCUUGCUCAACUGCCUAUUCCUAACGUUAGAAAAUUGGACAGCACACCAGUAUUUGUAUUCUUCCUAUGACUUUUUGCAUUCUUUUCCCCUUGUUUGCUAUUCAUUAAGAUAAUGAGGACAGUGCAUCUACUCCACAGGGACUCCCUUGGUGCCUUCCUUCUCUUCAGCCAUUAAUAGGUGUUUAUUUCCUGAACCUCAUGGGGCUUCAUGUUCUUAACAUACCACAGAUAUGGAAGAAUAAUUCUAUGCUGGCUUUGAAUCAGAAUUGUAUGCAUUGUAAUGAAAACAAAUAAGCA